GAAAUGCGAUAAGUAAUGUGAAUUGCAGAAUUCAGUGAAUCAUCGAAUCUUUGAACGCACCUUGCGCUCCUCGGUAUUCCUUGGAGCAUGCCUGUUUGAGUAUCAUGAAAUCUUCAAAGUAAAUCUUUUGUUAACUCAAUUGGUUUCUACUUUGGUAUUGGAGGUCUUUGCAGCUUCACACCUGCUCCUCUUUGUUCAUUAGCUGGAUCUCAGUGUUAUGCUUGGUUCCACUCGGCGUGAUAAGUUAUCUAUCGCUGAGGACACUGUAAAAGGUGGCCAAGGUAAAUGCAGAUGAACCGCUUCUAAUAGUCCAUUGACUUGGACAAUACUUUUUUGAUCUGAUCUCAAAUCAGGUAGGACUACCCGCUGAACUUAAGC
rnacentral:misc_RNA from 1 species